GUGAGGAGCGAUUGCUUCAAAAAACCAGCAAUGGCCUGUGUGCUGCUGGAUGGAAGCAUUAAUACCAAGAUAUUGCACGUCCAUUGAAGAAAACUCACUAAACCAAAUGAGGGUUAAAAAAAAUUAAGGCUGCAGUGUUUAAAGCAUUAACUUACACAUGUCUACACAGAAGUCCUAUGGAGUCCAAUGAGAUUUACUCCCAGGUAAGUGGGUAUAGAAUUGUAGUUGUGAUUGUGGCUGAAAUUAAUCUAUUGUAAAAGAAUUAGUUGAUUACAAAGAUGCCUGGAUUAAACAGGCAAUUAUUGGCAAUACAAGUACGUAUAAAAAAUAGUGGCUGGCAAAAUGCUAUCUUAAAAAAGUCAUUGGGGUGAGAGUGACUGGUGAAUGACUUUUGUAAGAAGGUCGCUGCUCUGACAAAGACACAUAAUCUAAAAACAUUUUGGUUUUUCUUUAGAACUAUUCUUUUCUCUUUUGAAAAUUUCUACAGAUUUAAUCAACCAAUGGAUUGAAUAAAAUGUAUACAAUUAAUUGACAAAGAUUUCUUUAGUUGGGUGAAAGCCUUACAAUGAUUUCUUUUCUUUUCUCCCUUUCUUACAUGGUGAGAACAUGCUUUACACAUAUAUGUGUAAUUUCUGAUGUCUCUGUAAGAAAGAAAGGUCUCUGCCCAGGUUCCUAAGGAGUCACUGCCCCAAAGAAUAGGCCAGGGAUGGGGAACUGGUGUGUCUCCAGAUGUUGUUGAACUAUCUCUCAUCUGCCCCAGAAAGCAUGAGCCUUGGCCCGGGAUUGUGGGAGUUGUAGUUCAGCAACAUCUGGGGGACCAAAGGUUCCUCACACCAGAGCUGGAUGGACUAGCGGUUUCUGUAGAUUUACAAGUUCAGUAUGGAAAGCCUGAGUCUUAGAAGAACCGGAUGGUGGUAAACAAUAGUUAAAAGUGUGGAGCCUAGAUCCUUGGGGGAAUUUAACAUAUUGUGGUUUGUGUUCAUUUCAUUGGUUAGAAGUUUCCAUUGUUAAGUCGGAAUGUUUUGGAAUGAAAGGAAGUCUAGAGCCAACAUAAACAAACCCUUCAAAUAACUUGGGGUAAGGGAACUGCUGCCAUCCCCCCGCUAGCAGAGAUGGAGUAGAGCUGUAUGAAUUUUGUAGCAUCAUGGUUAGGAAGCACAGGAAGUUGCCUUAUACUGAGUUAGAUCACUGGUACACCUAGCUGAGAAUUGGCCACACUGACUGGUAGCAGCUAUCUAGGGUUUUUUUUGGACAAGAAACAUUCCCAGGCCUGCUUAGAGAUACCACUGAGCUCUGGCUAUGUCAGUUUGCAUUUCUUGGUACAAAACGUAUCGAUCCGAUGUGUAGAGCUUUUUCGUAUUCUACUUAAUUCAAGACGGUUCUGGAAGCUUCUCUGUGUGAAAGAAACAAGCAACCAGGAGGUUCAUGAUCUUUGGGUUAUUCCUUCAGAGAAGCUAAGUACAAUUGGCUUAAACUGGUUCUCUUCUCUCUUCUGUCAAGGUCAUGCUAUAAUAAGAGGCCAGAAGGAGCCUGGGUUUUCUCUCUCUUUUCCUUCUGGUGUGGUGUUCUGUACAUAGUAUGCUUAGUGUUAAGGUUUAGACUUAAUUAUAAGUUAUUGUAAAUUUAAAUCUGCAGCAACUGGAUUUCUUAUGGACAGUGCCAAUCCUGAGUGUAUUGGAUUUGUGACCAUUAUGCUCAUUUGCCUUCCGUAGCAGUAAAGCUCUGCUGAAUGAAAUACAAUUGCCUCUGGUCUAUUUUUCGGGAGUCCUGCAACGUGUUUAAGUUUCUACUCUGCUCACUAUACGUCGGAAUCUACUCUGGAUCAAUAGAGUAGAAUUUCAGUGACAGGCUAUUCCCCACAGGGCGUAGAAAGAGGUACAUGUUACCACCACAGCAGGAUCAGGAACCAGUACUGAAGCCUACUGAUUUCUUUGAAAUAUCCCUCUACUGUUCCCAGGUUCCUCUCUCCUUGCUGGAUAUGGUUGGAGAGAGCGGAUGAGCAGAGUCUGCACAGCACUUGGUAAGCACUACAGCGGACUCCAGUGGCCACUUGGCGCAGCUGCAAGCACCUUCCGAAAGUGUGCUGAUGCAACCAACACACGUUGACAAAAGUCUGUUCCGGUGUUACGUGUUUCACUUACGCCAUAAAAAGGAAAGGCCAAAUUGAAAUUAUGUGCAUAUACAGUUUAGCAUGUACCGUUUCCUGCCUAAGCUGUUGCCUCAAUAAUGGGCAGCAAAUAAACACAUCCUACUCAAGAGUACACCUAUUGAAACGAAUGGGCUCUUAUUAAUGUAAGGGAACUGACUUAUUAAUGCCAGUCUUCUCUGGUAGAACUGCAUUUGAGUCCUACCCUUGGCGGCAGAUUCAAUUAAUGAGUCCCACUAGCGGAAAGUCACAUGAAGAAUUCUGCUAGCGUACUGGGGCUCACCCCCCCAAGCCCAAAUGGCUCAGAGUAGUUGAGAGAACCCCUCCAGAACAGGGUGUAGGGAGGGGGAGAGAUGUUCUAUUCCAUCUGGCAAGCAGAAAUUAUGGCACUGACAGAAUGAUUGCCAUAACGCUAAAUGUUUCGUUGAUUCCUCAAUUAAAAAUCAGUAAUUUUGAUUGAAAAUACAUUUCUAAUUAAACAGGCUUUUUUUUUUUUUUUUGGUUAAAAUUACUAUUUCUUUUCUUUUUUUUACUAUUUUGCUUAAAUUUCUAUUCAAUUGAAAAGUAAAUUCUAAAUUACUUUCUAUUAUUUUAAUAAGCAGCAUUUAAAAAACAAACGAAACUACUCUUAGACAAGAUACACGGUCCCCAUUUAAAAUGGCAUUAUACUGUGACAUGUGCAUACAUAUGUUGUGAACAACUGCUCAUACAUUGUGAACUGCCCUGACACCUGCGGGUAUAGCGGAGUAUAAAUAAUAAAGUUGCGGGGGGAAAUAUUGGGACUUUUGUUGAUUAACAUGAAAAUACCUGCUGAUUUACAGUUCCAGCCCUUAUAGUGUCUACACUGAAUGAAGUCCUGUUGAAUUCAGUGGGUCUUGCUUCCAGAAAAGGAUUGCAGCCUAAAUUGAUCAACUGAAUUAAAACUCAUUCCAUUACCCAGCUAAAUGCCAAAGUUAGGCAAAUUACAUCCCCUCGUUUAGAAAUAAAUCCUUGCGUAAGGAAGGAGCUGGUUCGAUGUCCAUGUAGGAUUUAUAUAACUCAUUUCAGGCGUUCAAAAGUACUUCAUAUAUGUUAGCUUAGUAAUCCCUACAGGAACUCUGCAAGGCACGUCACCAAAUGGAUCUUAAUUCCUGCCUUCAGGCUUCCCACAGGUUAUCGGUUAUGCAUGAGGGUUUUACACUGCUUCUUGGUAGGGCUUUAAACACAAGCCAGUAGCAGGAUUUAUUUUAGUCCCAAGGAAGGUAUGCAAGCAAGGGCCUUAAGCAGGGGUAGGCAACCUAAGGCCCGUGAGCCAGAUGCAGCCCAGUCGCCUUCUCAAUCUGGCCCGCGGACGGUUCGGGAAUCAGUGUGUUUUUACAUGAGUAGAAUGUGUCCUUUUAUUUAAAAUGCAUCUCUGGGUUAUUUUUGGGGCCUGCCUGGUGGUUUUACACGAGUAGAAUGUGUCCUUUUAUUUAAAAUGCAUCUCUGGGUUAUUUGUGGGGCAUAGGAAUUCGUUCAUUCCCCACCCCGACAAAAUAUAGUCCAGCCCACCACAUAGUCUGAGAGACGCUGGACUGGCCCACGGCUGAGAAAGGUUGCUGACCCCUGGUCUUAAAGAGUACAGAGAGUUCACUGUGCCCGUGUACAACAUGGUAGGCCAAUGUUAUUUUCACAGUAUUGUGGCUGGGGAAGAGAAUCUAGCUAAUUAAAGAGAUAUCUCUGGCUGAGACGAGAUUUGAACCAGGGACCAGCUUAAUGCAAAACAGAGCAGUUGCAAGCAAAUUCAACAGCAACGACAACUUGCCAUGCUCUUGGAUCUGCAAGCAUUUUAAGAGUCUUAAAAGUAGCAGAGACUUGAGUCCACGUGUAAAAUUGCCACCCAAACUGCGCACGUGUUAACUAGAAGUCUACCUCGGUGCAAGAUUGCCAUUUUCCCUUACCUCCUGCAACUGAGGAGCAAUUUUAUCCAACAUCUGCUCACAGGAAGGCCUUGGAAGAGAAGACGACCUCCUUUCCUUCACCACCAUACUGAGCAAAGCAGGUAGGUUCUCUGAGUUUGUUUGUUUUUUGGCAGGGAGGCUUCUCACAGGCCUGUUGGUGAACCAGCCUCCCCCCCCCCCCCAGUUGUCUUGCCUCUUUAAAAUAUAUUUAAAAAAUAGCAGCUCUGCCUUGCAUUACAGAGGUAGGCCCGAAUCCAAAGGAAAGCCAAUUGCAUAAGAAGGACUUAAGUUAGUAGCAACGAAUGGAUGGAAUUACUACACUAAGAUUGGCCAUCCUCCUUUGCAGAGGACAGUCCUGUUCUCCCCUCUAUCUGAAGGUGUCCUCUGUUCGUGGGUUGCUCUGGACAAGUCUGGUUUAAAGAUAAGGAACCAAGAUGAUAAGAAUUUUUUAAAAAGCAUGGUAAAUGUUUAUUAUGUAUUUGCAAAAGUAUUGUAAACAGGUUAAUACAUUUAAACAGGAUUUUAAGAACACGUGUAAUUUCAGAAUAUAGGAAAUUUGAGGCAAAACCCCCAAUUUGGAGUAGAAAUGACAUGCAGUUGAAAAGGGAAUUUAAGGAACAAGGGGAGGGAAGUCACAGGAGAAUCCCAUUUUAUGGAUUUGAUAUUGUUGUUGUGUAUAAUUUUCUUUGUUUGUGGUUGUUUGUUGUUUGUUAUUUUUGUUGAAAAAGAAAGAAAGAAAGAAAGAAAGAAAGAAAGAAAGAAAGAAAGAAAGAAAGAAAAGGAAGCAUAAAAAUAUAGAGGAGCCUGGAGCAGCACCCUGCCAGCAGACUGAGCAGGCAUCCAAGCCACUUGGUGUUUUCCCCUCUUGUUGUUGGUUUAGUCGUUUAGUCGUGUCCGACUCUUCGUGACUCCAUGGACCAGAGCAUGCCAGGUACUCCUGUCUUCCACGGCCUCCCGCAGUUUGGUUAAACUCAUGUUGGUAGCUUCGAGAACACUGUCCAGCCAUCUUGUCCCCUGUCGUCCCCUUCUCCUUGUGCCCUCCAUCUUUCCCAACAUCAGGGUCUUUUCCAGGGAGUCUUCUCUUCUCAUGAGGUGGCCAAAGUAUUCCCCCCCCAUGACAAUGUAUUUCUAUUUAAAUUACAACGUGCAGUUGCAUCUAUUAAUGUACAUUACCAUAUACAUAGGACGCGGGUGGCGCUGUGGUCUAAAUCACUGAGCCUCUUGGGCUUGCCGGUCAGAAGGUCGGCGGUUUGAAUCCACGCAAUGGAGUGAGCUCCUGUUGCUCAGUCCCAGCUCCUGCCAACCUAGCAGUUCGAAAGCACGCCAAAAAAAGUACAAGUAGAUAAAUAGGUACCACUCUGGCGGGAAGGUAAAAAACAGCAUUUCCGUGCACUGCUCUGGUUUCGGUGUUCCGUUGAGCCAGAAGCGGCUUAGUCAUGCUGGCCACAUGACUCGGAAAAACUGUCUACGGACAAGUGCUGGCUC